UCUUCACUUGUGGGCAAGAAGUGACGCUAGGGUUCUCGAAAAAAUAUCGAUAUAUCGAUAUAAUUUUUUCAAUGUAACAAUAUUUUUGAGCGAUAUUUAUUGUUUCGAUAUAUCGAGGUAUCGAUAUAAUAUUAUGAGUAUUGAAAAGGUAUAAAAACGAUAUUUUUAUGAUCAAAAAAUUCUAAAUCCUUUUUUAUACUAACUGUUUAAUCCAAACAAAUACUCCUCUGCAUUACUCCCACAAAUUACAUAAAGUAAUAGAAGCGUAAUGCGGAGGAAUAUCAACCGCCCCAACUUUACUCAACAGGCGAAAGAGGAGAAAAAGAAAACAUCUUUUCCGGCGUUUUUUACCAAAGGAUUGUGGGCACACUGUUCGUCAAUUAUUCUUCUUAUAAAUUCACAGUUUCAACUGAAUACUUAAUUCGUAGUUUCUAGAAGCGUCACUUAUUGUUCAGACGCCAAGAAGAGUGCCAGUGUUCAAAAAUUAGCUGCAAUAAAUAAUAAGUACAAGUGUUGGCUUUAAUAAAACUAAUCUUCAUUUUUACAACAUAGGAGUGAAAAACAGUGAAUACGGAAAAUCCCAUCCCACGAUAAAACAAAACAUUUUUUAUAUCUUUUUUCUCAAAUACAACAAGUGAAGUUUAAUUCGACAAACCAACAGUGAGACAUUCAACACAUUUCACUCAAUAACAACAAUACAGGAUAAAGGAAUUAUAAUCCACUGCAGUUUCAUCGUAGUAACAGCGCAUUUUCUUAACACAGCAAAUAACUGCACUCCUGAAUCUGAACAUGAGAUGGUGACAUUGACAGCACGAAGAAUGUAUCAGGCACACACUGCUGAUUAGAUAAAAGAAUGCUUUGAAAAUAUUACCGACCAGUUUUCAAUAGAAAAGGAUUGCAUCUUAGCAAUUACCACUGAUGGUGGUGCUAACAUAGUUGCUGCAGUGAAGAAAUUUUUGGAAGAUGGAAAAAGACUUCCUUGCAUGGCACAUUUGUUGAAUUUAAUAGUGUAUGGCGCAACAAGAGAUAAUGCACCAGUUCUUAAAAUUGCCAAUCGGGUCAAAGCCAUUGUAACAUAUUUCAAACAAUCUGUGAACGCAAUGAUUUGCGAAAAGAACAAAAGGGACAAAAGGAAGAGGGAGAAGAAUUAACACUUAUACAAUCAGUAAGCACAAGGUGGAAUUCUUGUCUUGAUAUGUUGGAAAGAUUCAAUACAUUAUCAGUUACUGUGGCUAAGAUUUUGGCAACCAGGCGGAUCGCAUCUGAUAUGAUAACUUCUUCAGAGUUAGGUGUCAUACGAGAUCUACUGAAGAAAUUAGCGGCGAUCAGUACGUGACUUCAAGUUUGGUGAUUCCCAUUGCAAACUUGCUUCAGAGAGGCCUUGAACAAGUAAAACCUUUCACCGAAUUUGGUAUUGCUGUUCAGAAGAGUUUGUUAAAUUUAGUUAUUGCAAAACUAGAACCACUAGAGCGACAUUUACAUCUGGCCAAAGCAACAAUUUUAUACCCACGUUUUAAGCGUAUUCAUUUUAGUUCAGCGCUAGCUGCUUCCACUGCAAUAACCGAACUGUCAAAAGAAAUACGUUUAGAACAUAGACGUAGAGGACAACUUUCGCCUGAACUCAGACCCACUCGCACUACCAUAAUUCCAAAUUUCAAAAAUUCUUCGCCGUCGUUGUGGUCCGGACAUGAAAAAAUUAUGAUAGAUAUUGCUGCCGCUUCAGCAAACUCUUUACUUUCAACUUCAACCAGUGAUGGCAUGCCUAGCGAACUAAAGCAAUAUCUAGAUCAGCCUAUAAUAUCCAGAAAAGAGAAUCCAACAAAAUUCUGGUUUGAUUGUCGUCAUUUUACCCCAGUCCUUUCCGACAUAGCUCUAAAGUAUUUGAUAUCGCCUGCGUCCUCGGUUUCCUCGGAGAGAGUGGCACCUGCUGUGAAUCUCGCAGUACCCAAUAACAGAAGUCGGCUUACAGCCGAGCACGUAAAUCAAAGAGUUUUUCUUAUGUCUGUAUCAGAUAAAUAUUGGUUUGAUUAAUAAAUAAUUAAUGUUUUAA